CAGAACAGCUUACAGUAAAGAUAGCAAAGAAGAAAGCUUUUUAAAAAAAUGGAACUUUUAAUGAGGUAGAAAAAUUGGAUGUGGAAAGAAGACCACAGCAUUAUUGGACAGAAUGUAGUAAUACUACAGCACAUUCAAUUCUCAGUUAUUUUUUAAAGAAAUGGAAAAUCUUUCUCUUCAGCAGAAAAAAAAGUUUUUUUCUUUUUCACUAACAAUGACAACAGGGGUGUUUCUUGGGGGCAUGAGUCAGAAGCAUAUUCAAGUUGUUAGGAACAUACAUAAAUAUUGAAGGAAGACAUUUGGAUCACCACAAAAUCUGUAAUUUCCUCAGCUAAUUUCCCCCUUGGAGACACUUCCGAGCCUGGAAUAUCAGGCUGAUGUCUCAUUGUCCCAUGGCACAUAAGGGCAGUCCAAAAUACCAAAUUCACUAGGAGGGCAGAGUCUCCUGAACAUGGUAUUUAUAUAUGAUUUUUGCCACCUGGGGAACCCUAUUUGGAUAGAAAGGUGUAUUCUGCGGCAUCCCAACCUUGCUGAACUCCAAAACUGUACCCACCUCGGGCUCCACUCCAAAUAGGGUUGCCAACUCUGGGUUAAAUUUUUUUUGGAGAUUUUGGGACCCUAAGAAGUUUGCUCAGAGGAGAAUGGCAGCCAUCUAAAGUCUGAACUUGAGAAAGUGCUCGGCAAGUUCUUCCUCGAGCCCUGCUCUGAAAAUGCCCAGAUACCUGCCUCUGCUGCAAGCCAGCAAAGCAGAACAUAGUGUCCAACUGUAAUGUGGAAUUUUGCAGCAAGGAGAGCUUCAAAGAUACACCUUGGUACAUUAAAUAAUCACAGAUGUCCUGCCUGCUUUAUCACCUGGAAAGUACAAUCUGUUCCUGGCUAUA